CGGUUGCGGCUCUGGUGUUCACUUUUGGUUCUUGUGUUGCCUACCCGUUUAGCGGUAUUCAUGUGCCUCUUAAGACCUGUUCCAUCCAGACCCCUUCUAGGGGAUGCUGGGGGAUUCGAAAAUGAUGUGUGUUUUGCGUUAGUUGUGCGUUGUAACGGCUCGCAUGCUCACAUGUGUCUAUUUUUCCCUUGGAUGCGGUGCAUGCGGCGAACGUGGGCUGGCGAUUGUGCCCCGUUUAGUCCCUUUUGAUUUAUCGGUUGCCUUGAAUGACACUUUGCCGUAGUGCUGGUCUUGCUUUACCAUUCUUGGGGGCAACUCUUGCACUUCGAGCAGAGUCAUUGACGG
rnacentral:misc_RNA from 2 species